GAUGGGUGGGGUGGGAUGGUGUAGGAUGGGAUGGUUUGUGGAUUGGAAUGGUGAGACGCAUCUGGUUGGGUGACUGUGUAGUGUGAGCUCUCCAACAUCAGGUCUUUGCCCUGGUUUGUGCCACCAGCUGUUUCAAAUUGGCACUGAAAGGCUCUCCAGAGUAAAUUUGGGCCUUUCCAGGGCUGCAUAAAAUUAACAACCCCUGAUCGGUACUUCUGAAGAUUCGCUAAGUAUUACAGUAAACAUUCUGGCCAGUUGAGGUAAGAAUUCUCCUCAAUACUUUUAAGGAAAGGGUAGCAACCUGUGCUUCUCCCCUUUUUUAACCAGAAUUCCCUCUGGCCUAUGCCCUCACCUAUCUAAACCAGGGUUUGUAUUGGGAGUCUGUCCUAAAGGGGCACAUCUGGUGGAUCUGGACCUGUAAAUGAUGAUCAUUGUUUACAGAGUUUUUUCCGUUUACAGGUUGAAAGCAAAGAGUGAGCUGUUAGACUGGAUGUAGGAAAGUCUAUGUUGGGUUUUGAAAAGCUCACUUUCAGGACUUGUAUGAAAACCAAAAAGUGUGUGUGUGUGUGUGUCUGAGUGAGAAAUGGGGGACAUUAGAAUGAGUGAAAACUACUGUGUAAGAACGUGUGUGUGAGAAUCAAAAGCCAAGAAUCUGUGAAAGAAUGCUGUAUCUUUUCCUACAAAGAGGGGCUAUGUGGUAUGCGUGUGAGGAAGUGUGUCUGUGUGUGUGUCUGGAGAUCGACUGCGGCUGAGAUGGAAUGUUUGGCUGUGGCAAACAUUUGUGUGUGUGGACGCGUGCGCAGGAGUGAGCGUGGUGUGACCUAGGUGUUUUCACACCCUGGGUAGAAUCCAACAAAUUCUAACAUGAUUAGUCUUAUCCAACAAAGAUCCAGUAAACGACCAGAGAACCAUUGUACCGAGAUUAAACCGUUCCCCAGACCUAAAUUGGCUCGAGGCUGUGGGAUAUCUGACAUAAUGUUGGACCUAUUUUUCCAAUCCAAUGUUGAGAUCCUAAAAUUUGUUAAAUUAAGUGAAUUUAGAUACUCCCCACUGCAAGAAAUACAAUAAAAAUGGACCCUUUUUUUUCAAUUAUGGUUUGAGGUCCAUAAAGGUGAAUUUGUGAGAAUUCAUUUUCAGUUUGAAAUCUAAAUGCAAAUGUCAUUAAAUUGGAGCUUUGAAUGACAUAAGAACUGUUAUAUGUCUGUGUAUAACAGCUUAAGAAAAACAUGGUGGGGGUAAAGUUCAGUUUUUUUUUUUCGACUUUUGUUUUCUGUGUAGUUUUGAGUGGAAAUGGUUACAUUUCGGUGGAAGUUUUAUUUCUCUUCUGUUCUAAAAUCUGAAGUCUGUUUAGCCAGAAUGUGAAUGAGAGAGGUAGAACCUUUUUCACAAGGCUAGUUUACCAUCUCAGUAUUAUCUUUUAAAUUCUGCGGUAGAAAAGAAUCUGGCUUGUCAUUUCUGUCCCUGUUCCAAGCACCAGGGAUAAACCAGUCAGACCAAAAUUAUCCAAACCUCUUACUACUUUUAAUUCUGUGGCCCUGCUACCAUUCCCAAAUUUUGCAUAUUAAUUGGUAUAUCAAGCAGUUGAUUCCCCCCCCCCCCCUAUUUAAGGUUGUGUCACCAUCACCUUUAUGCAACUCUGUUGAUUCAUUCCUCUUCUACCUCUCUCAUUGAAAUGAACUGUGUUCUUAACAAAAAUGCAGAGGAUUAUCUGGCUAAAUAAAUAAAAACAAUUGACUGC
ensembl:lncRNA